UUGCUUCAGCAGCACAUGCACUAAAACUGGAUCAGUACAGAGAUUAGCAAUGAUGACACGCAAAUGCGUGAAGUGUUCCAUAUUUUU
rnacentral:snRNA from 1 species